CCUACGGGAGGCAGCAGUGAGGAAUAUUGGACAAUGGAGGAGACUCUGAUCCAGCCAUGCCGCGUGUAGGAAGAAUGCCCUAUGGGUUGGGAACUACUUUUAUACAGGAAGAAACACUGGAGUAUACAAGCUUGACG
rnacentral:rRNA from 1 species